UACGAACCGUCCAAACGUUAUUCGGAAUCACUGGGCUUAAAGGGUGCGUAGGCGGCCUGUUAAGUUGGGUGUGAAAUCCCUCGGCUCAACCGAGGAAUUGCGCCCAAUACUGGCGGGCUUGAGGGAGAUAGAGGUGAGCGGAACUUAGGGUGGAGCGGUGAAAUGCGUUGAUAUCCUAAGGAACACCGGUGGCGAAAGCGGCUCACUGGGUCUCUUCUGACGCUGAGGCACGAAAGCUAGGGGAGCGAAG
rnacentral:rRNA from 1 species